AGCGAACGCUGGCGGCAGGCUUAACACAUGCAAGUCGAACGGGCACCUUCGGGUGUCAGUGGCAGACGGGUGAGUAACACGUGGGAACGUACCCUUUGGUUCGGAACAACUCUGGGAAACUGGAGCUAAUACCGGAUACGCCCUGAUGGGGAAAGGUUUAUCCGCCGAAGGAUCGGCCCGCGUCUGAUUAGCUAGUUGGUGGGGUAACGCCCACCAAGGCGACGAUCAGUAGCUGGUCUGAGAGGAUGAUCAGCCACACUGGGACUGAGACACGGCCCAGACUCCUACGGGAGGCAGCAGUGGGGAAUUUUGGACAAUGGGCGCAAGCCUGAUCCAGCCAUUCCGCGUGCAGGAUGAAGGCCCUCGGGUUGUAAACUGCUUUUGUACGGAACGAAACGCGCUGAGUUAAUACCUCGGCGUAAUGACGGUACCGUAAGAAUAAGCACCGGCUAACUACGUGCCAGCAGCCGC
rnacentral:rRNA from 1 species